rnacentral:ribozyme from 15 species
UUUUUUUUUUUUUUUUUUUUUUUUUUUUUUUCCCUCGUCAACCU